rnacentral:rRNA from 1 species
AUUUUUAUUGUUUUUCUCAUUUUCCACUGUUGCCCAUUCUUUCUAGGACCAGUAUAUACAUCAUGAUUUUCUUUUUAUGUAAUUGUUAUUUAUACUUGAAGCAAGGUAUCUAAAGACCUGAUGGGAAAUGAGGAGGUGCCCUUUGCAACUAAAAAGACUAAGUUGGAGACCAAGUGCCUUUAGGCAACGCGCCCUUUUGGAUCGUAGCGUAUUAGUUGCGGAUGUGCAGAAAAUGCUGAUUUAGCGGAUGGAUUGCCUUUUCCAUCUGGGAUCGCUUUUGUUGCGACCUGUCGCUUAUAAUAGAGUGAUCUGUUUUGCUGAUCCUGGCCAAGUGGAAUCUACUGUCUGUCAAUGUCCAAAUGCUGCAGUCAAUAGUUAGUGUGACAUGGAUCUUGACUAAUGUAUCCCAUCAGUUUAGC